rnacentral:rRNA from 1 species
AUUGAACGCUGGCGGCAGGCCUAACACAUGCAAGUCGGACGAGAGGCAGACGGGUGAGUAAUGUAUUGGAAGCUGGCUGAUGGAGGGGGAUCACUACUGGAAACUGUAGCUAAUACCGCAUACCAUCAGAUGAACACAAAUGGGAUUAGAUAGUCGGUGGGGUAACGGCUCACCAAGACGACGAUCUCUAGCUGGUCUGAGAGGAUGAUCAGCCACACGGUGACUGAUAGCAGGCCCAGACUCAUACGGGAGGCAGCAGUGGGGAAUAUUGCGCAAUGGGCGCAAGCCUGAUGCAGCCAUGCCGCGUGUAUGAAGAAGGCUUUCGGGUUGUAAAGUACUUUCAGUCGGGAGGCGUGACCGACAGAAGAAGCACAGGCUAACGCCGUGCCAGCAGCCGCGGUAAUAC